UUCAGAGACUUAGAGAUGGUAUGAUUGCAACUGUUUUUGCUUGUGGGUAUAUAUGGUCAUUCCUUCUGUUCUGCUUUCAUCUCUGAGCUCUGUUCCCUGAGGCUUCAAAAAAAACCUGAAAAGCCUGUUUCACUAGUCUGAAAUUAUAAUGUGGGUUUUAAAAAUGAAUCCAUACACUUGCAGGUGACAAUAGCUCUAUCAUAUAAUCUUCAAAGCUCUGAAAAAUUAUCACCUAUGGACCCAAUGUUAUGGCCCAGGCCACUCAUAUUGGACCAGAACUCAUAGCCCAGGGGGUCAGGCUGAGGCCUGUGUGUCUUUGCCAGCAUUUCCAUUCAGAGAAACGCUGAUGCAAGGCCUCACUCAACUCUGAGUGAAAUGAUUAACUCUUAGGAGACAAACUGGAAGCUAAUCCCUUACAGAAUGCUUAUCAUGUUGAUGUCACCUACAUUGUUCUGCCUUAGUCAAAUGUGUUGAUUAACUAGCCUCAAGCAGGUACCCCUUGGCUGUUACUUUAAACAUUCUUUUUCUUAGAAUCACACACUAAGUAGAUGUAUACAAGAAGUAAUUUAAUUGCUGUCUCACACAUAUAGCUUAGCUUCUUCCUUCUUAAACAACCCCUUUUGACUUUUUAACACUCUUUGAAGCCUGCCUCUUAGGCAAAGACAGACCAACAACUUAAGAAAUGCAGAUGUUUGGAGAACAAAAGGAGCAAAUUGCUUCCUGACAACAAAAAGACAGUAUGCAGAGGAUGCUGCUCUGAACUGGUCUAACAAAGAAACAGUUUUGUCAUAAGAAGGAAGUUUUAUGAUAAGAGCGACUGACACUUUGGAGAUCCAGGACUGAGAAUGCUAUCUUGAAAUAACUCCUAGUGCAGGUCCAUGGGAGGAAGGUGCUAUAAAAAGGGGUCUCUGGACAUGGCAAAUCAGCAAGCUUUGCCCAACCAGCAGAUCUUUGCUCAAGAGCGAUUCCAGAGUUUGCUGUUCAAGCCGCGGGGCUAGAGCAGGAACUCUUUCCAUGGACAGGAACUGUCGAUGACCUCCACUGCGAGUGAGAAGUCAAGACUAUCCAGCCAUAAUGCUCUCUCCCUCUCUCUCUGCUUUUCUCUGAGCAUUUACCACCACCAGCCUGCCUGACUGCUUGAAGCCUGCAUCGUUUCCAAGCUCCAGCAACGAACAAGUCCUUUGAAGCCUUCUUCGUGAACCUGACAAGCCAGUCAACCCUGUGCCAGCUAUGGAGAGAAGAGGAAGGUGGCUUUGAGAGUGUAACAAAGAUCAGCCUAUCAGCACCCUGCACCGCCAGUUUCUGCAGCAGAAGAAAGAACUGGUUGUUCCUGAGUUCUGUUCUUUGAGGAAGCUUGUACGUCUGGCCACAACAGGGUUGGGCUGAUGACUGGAGCAAGAGUUGUUGCCAUCCCAAGUCAGCCAUGAAACUCCCUUGGUGACCUCGGCGCAGGCAUGAUCUACCUCACAGAGCUGUAGGUUGCUGUAAACUGCCCAGAGAGACGGAAGUUCGAGGCAGUCUACAAAGCUGAAAAAUAACCAACCAACUAACUAAAUAUCAAUAUUUGAUACCUUUAUGUUUUUGUAUUAAAAAGUAAGACUAAAAAGAUUCUUCCCUGGUGCUGGCAUCAGAUAUUUCCACACACUUGAAAAUUGCCUUGCUUCUGCUAGCAUCUUCCUAAGCUCUUGCAGAUGUCACUAUUAGAGAUCUGAAGAACAACUACACACUGGCCUGAAGCCCCAGUCUUGACUUGAGGGAAUGCUGCUCAGUACCUCGCUCUUCCUUUCUUAUACAGCAGGUAUCGCCCACACACCUUCAUUGCCUUCAGGGCUAGAAAUCCGCUGCUUUAAAAAACAGUAAGGAAAACUCAGGUUUCUGAAUUGCGUGCUUACUACCAGUUUCUGCACUUGCAGGCUGCAGCUGUUGCGGAAUCCCUGAAUGCACACUGCCCUCCCUAGGAACACUUAUGCUGGCUUCUUUACCAUCAGCUUGUAGGGAUUCUCACCAACUCUUU